rnacentral:rRNA from 1 species
UGUAAGUCGAACGGCAGCGGGGGCUUCGGCCUGCCGGCGAGUGGCGAACGGGUGAGUAAUGCAUCGGAACGUACCCAGUCGUGGGGGAUAACUACGCGAAAGCGUAGCUAAUACCGCAUACGCCCUGAGGGGGAAAGCGGGGGACCUUCGGGCCUCGCGCGAUUGGAGCGGCUGAUGUCGGAUUAGCUAGUUGGUGGGGUAAAGGCCUACCAAGGCGACGAUCCGUAGCUGGUCUGAGAGGAUGAUCAGCCACACUGGGACUGAGACACGGCCCAGACUCCUACGGGAGGCAGCAGUGGGGAAUUUUGGACAAUGGGCGCAAGCCUGAUCCAGCCAUGCCGCGUGAGUGAAGAAGGCCUUCGGGUUGUAAAGCUCUUUCAGACGGAAAGAAAUCGGGCGCGUGAAUAGCGUGCCUGGAUGACGGUACUGUCAGAAGAAGCACCGGCUAACUACGUGCCAGCAGCCGCGGUAAUACGUAGGGUGCGAGCGUUAAUCGGAAUUACUGGGCGUAAAGCGUGCGCAGGCGGUUGUGUAAGACAGGUGUGAAAUCCCCGGGCUU